GAUGAACGCUAGCUACAGGCUUAACACAUGCAAGUCGAGGGGCAGCAUGGUCUUAGCUUGCUAAGACUGAUGGCGACCGGCGCACGGGUGAGUAACACGUAUCCAACCUGCCGUCUACUCUUGGACAGCCUUCUGAAAAGGAAGAUUAAUACAAGAUGGCAUCAUGAGUCCGCAUGUUCACAUGAUUAAAGGUAUUCCGGUAGACGAUGGGGAUGCGUUCCAUUAGAUAGUAGCGGGGUAACGGCCCACCUAGUCUUCGAUGGAUAGGGGUUCUGAGAGGAAGGUCCCCCCACAUUGGAACUGAGACACGGUCCAAACUCCUACGGAGGCAGCAGUGAGGAAUAUUGGUCAAUGGACGAGAGUACUGAACCAAGCCAAGUAAGCGUGCAGGAAAGAACGGGCCCCCUUAAU
rnacentral:rRNA from 1 species